rnacentral:rRNA from 1 species
AUUCAUAAUAACUUAACGAAUCGCAUGGCCUUUGCGCGGGCGAUGGUUCAUUCAAAUUUCUGCCCUAUCAACUUUCGAUGGUAGGAUAGUGGCCUACCAUGGUUUCAACGGGUAACGGGGAAUUAGGGUUCUAUUCCGGAGAGGGAGCCUGAGAAACGGCCACCACAUCCACGGAAGGGCAGCAGGCGCGCAAAUUACCCAAUCCCGACACGGGGAGGUAGUGACAAUAAAUAACAAUAUAGGGCCCUUUCGGGUCCUAUAAUUGGAAUGAGUACAAUUUAAAUCCGUUAACGAGGAACAAUUGGAGGGCAAGUCUGGUGCCAGCAGCCGCGGUAAUUCCAGCUUCCAAUAGCGUAUAUUAAAGUUGUUGCAGUUAAAAAGCUCGUAGUUGAACUUCAGACCUGACCGGGCGGUCCGCCUAACGGCGUGUACUGUCUGGCCGGGCCUUACCUCUUGGUGAGCCGGCAUGCCCUUUACUGGGUGCGUCGGGGAACCAGGACCUUUACCUUGAGAAAAUUAGAGUGUUCAAAGCAGGCUUACGCCGGGAUACAUUAGGCAUGGAAUAAUAGAAUAGGACGUGCGGUCCUA